GCUUUUUUAUUAUUCAUUUUUUUAUUAUUGUUAAUAAUAAUAAUGAAUAUCGGAUCUUUUUGAUGGUGUUUGGUUUUUGAUUUGCAAAUGUUGGUUGUGAAUCUCUUUGCUUUAGUGGCGAUAAAUCAGCAUUCAAUGAUGUCGUGUAAAGAUGAGAUGAUGAGUUUGAUAUUUUGUUUCUUAGAAUCUGUGUUUUGAGCAUUUUUAAUUUUCCAUGAGAAAAAGAAUUUGGGGCGAAUAAUAUGUGUACCUGAAACCAGAUCAACUUUCUAUUUAUUCUUACACUGGAAAUCAAAAUUCUUGCUUUUUCUAAAUUUUGGGUUCAUCAUUUACUGCCUUCAUCAGUAGCAUGACUUACUUUAUUUUUCUUUUCACAAUUCUUAAUUUUUUUGUUUGUUUCCUGCAUUUGCUGCCUUCAACAGUAGCAUGAUUUAUUCUGUUUUUCUUUUCCCAAUUCAUAAUUUUUUUUUGUUUCCUCAUUAAUGCAUGAUGCAGUUUCUUUUCAACCAGAUUACGGUAAGAAAUUUACGACAAUCGAUAUUAUUUCCAAGAUUUAGUUUUUUCCUUCUUCAGAAGAUAAAUAUGGAUACCAUAAAUUGAUAUUAUUCCCAAUAAAUCGUCUUUUAUUUUUGGAAUUUCCGGGCUUAGUCGAAUUCUAUAUAAAGCACUCGCACAACGAUGAUGGUGAUAUAUCCUCGCAGCGAAGGAUUAAGCGAUGAACUUUUAUCUUUCAUAUUGAUCAUAAUCGUUCCUCAUAGUCAAUAUUGAGACAAUAAAAUUAAAUCUGGACGUUUAAUUUCGUACGAGUGUACAGGUACGUUCAAAAGUGUUUCAUGGGAAACUCGAAAGUGUUUAUGGGAAUCCUGAUCAAAAUGAUUGGUGUACCGUGGAGGAAAUCCCGCGGCUGCACCAUGUGAGAGAGCAAAAAAAAGAAGGGCCCCACCUUUGGCCCCACCUCCUGCAAAUCCCCCUAGGGCUGCCCUAACAACCCUUGGAUUUGUUUGCAGUGCAGAUCGUGGUACACACCUUCGGUGUGUAUCAUCACUCUAAUAUUAUAUUGUAUAAUACUCUUGAGGACUUAAUCGGGGAGAAGAAGGUAACAUCCAAGCGUCUUAUCCCUAAAAAAGAGCUAUAAUGUCCCCAGACAUACCUGAUACUUCUCUUCCUCAAAGCCUCGAAAACAAAACUUACUUAUCCUGCUUACUCCAACAAAUCUUAGUCCUCCUCCGCCUGCCCAACGGGACAUCCGUAUUAAUCGUAAGUCGUGCAAGGAAAGUGACAAACGGGCUGAUGGAUAUGCAGCUGAUUAUAUUUUUUACACUUCAGCAUCCAAUGGAGUUUUGGGUUUGUAAAAAACUGAUUCCAUGUACUUUAAUAAUAGAAAGUCUCUCUAACGGAAUGUUUCUUUGACAUGCAAAAGGGCCUUAUGCAUCGGUGUGGUUAGCGGCGUCAAUAAUUGUUCAAACUAGAGUGAUUCCAAACUACAAGAACCUACUUUAAGAAUAGCAUUUUUUCAUACAGCACAUCCAACAGAUAAGAUAAAAUUGAGUUACAAGUUACUUAAGGAUAACUCAGAGUUACGAAUUAGUGGGUGGUUCCCUAUUGAUAUUGUGGGUUCUUACAAAAAUCUGUCUGUUGAUAUCCUACCCAGAGUCGUGUCUUUUCGUUAAAAAAUUUUAGGAUGUAAAAGAGAAUCCAAAGAUAGUGUUGGUGCUA